rnacentral:lncRNA from 1 species
UGACAUGUUGGAGGAACCAUCCACGUAGAGAGCCCAAAAACCAUCAGGGAGAUCCAUUUUUUCUUCGGGAGAAUUCAACUGGAGCCCUGAGUUGUCGGCUUCACCUUAUUCAAGUUCGGUCUCUUCCGGAAUAGUGCACUCCACUAUGAAGUCUGCUAAUAUCUGGGCUUUAAUCAUCGGUCGAGGUUGAUAGUUGAUGUCGAAUUCUAUGAGCUCGACUGUCCAUUUCGGUAUCCUUCCGGAGGCAUCUGCUCGAUGCAGAACCACCUUGAUCGGUU